GCGAUACAGGGUGACAGCCCCGUACACAAAAAUGCACAUGCUGUGAGCUCGAUGAGUAGGGCGGGACACGUGGUAUCCUGUCUGAAUAUGGGGGGACCAUCCUCCAAGGCUAAAUACUCCUGACUGACCGAUAGUGAACCAGUACCGUGAGGGAAAGGCGAAAAGAACCCCGGCGAGGGGAGUGAAAAAGAACCUGAAACCGUGUACGUACAAGCAGUGGGAGCACGCUUAGGCGUGUGACUGCGUACCUUUUGUAUAAUGGGUCAGCGACUUAUAUUCUGUAGCAAGGUUAACCGAAUAGGGGAGCCGAAGGGAAACCGAGUCUUAACUGGGCGUUAAGUUGCAGGGUAUAGACCCGAAACCCGGUGAUCUAGCCAUGGGCAGGUUGAAGGUUGGGUAACACUAACUGGAGGACCGAACCGACUAAUGUUGAAAAAUUAGCGGAUGACUUGUGGCUGGGGGUGAAAGGCCAAUCAAACCGGGAGAUAGCUGGUUCUCCCCGAAAGCUAUUUAGGUAGCGCCUCGUGAAUUCAUCUCCGGGGGUAGAGCACUGUUUCGGCAAGGGGGUCAUCCCGACUUACCAACCCGAUGCAAACUGCGAAUACCGGAGAAUGUUAUCACGGGAGACACACGGCGGGUGCUAACGUCCGUCGUGAAGAGGGAAACAACCCAGACCGCCAGCUAAGGUCCCAAAGUCAUGGUUAAGUGGGAAACGAUGUGGGAAGGCCCAGACAGCCAGGAUGUUGGCUUAGAAGCAGCCAUCAUUUAAAGAAAGCGUAAUAGCUCACUGGUCGAGUCGGCCUGCGCGGAAGAUGUAACGGGGCUAAACCAUGCACCGAAGCUGCGGCAGCGACGCUUAUGCGUUGUUGGGUAGGGGAGCGUUCUGUAAGCCUGUGAAGGUGUGCUGUGAGG
rnacentral:rRNA from 1 species